rnacentral:rRNA from 1 species
CCUACGGGCGGCAGCAGUGAGGAAUAUUGGUCAAUGGGCGUAAGCCUGAACCAGCCAAGUCGCGUGAGGGAUGAAGGUUCUAUGGAUCGUAAACCUCUUUUAUAAGGGACGAAGAAGGUGACGGUACCUCAGGAAUAAUCCACGGCUAACUACGUGACAGCAGCCGCGGUAAUACGUAGGUGGCAAGCUUUAUCCGGAUUUAUUGGGUGUAAAGGGCGGGUAGGGGGGAAAGCAAGUCAGUUGUGAAAACUUAGGGCUCAACCCUAAGCCUGCAUUUGAAACUGGUUUGCUUGAGUGCUGGAGAGGCGAUCGGAAUUCCGGGUGUAGCGGGGAAAUGCGUAGAUAUCCGGAGGAACACCAGUGGCGAAGGCGGAUUGCUGGACAGAAACUGACGCUGAGGCGCGAAAGCGUGGGUAGCAAACAGGAUUAGAUACCCGAGUAGUC